AUAUGAAUCUUGAUUUAAUAUUGCCACGACGAUAUUUGAAUGAAAUCAAAAUAAUUAUGAGUAAUAACUUUUGAAUGAGAACACAAUAAAAUUACAAGUAAUAAUCAUUAGGACAUCAAAUAAUUACGUAUGAUCAUAGAAUAAACAACUAUCAAAAUCACAAAUAACUCCAAAGGGAUGUAGCAGCAUUCUUCUAAUACACAGUCCGAGAUUCCAAUCUCCUUCCACAAUUUAAUCCAACAUACUUAGUUGCCAGGUGGUGGAGAAAGGAAUGGGAUCGAGGGAAUUGUACUUGGAAUAGUGGGGAUUGAUGGGAUGCUUGGCAAUGGAGGCAAAGCAAACUUAGGAACACUAGGCAAGCUGGGAAGUGGAGGUAGUGUAGGCUUUGGUAGAGAUGGAUUUGUGGGUAAAGUGGGCUGCGGCAGAGUUGGGACACUAGGCAGUGGUGGCAAUGAAGGCUUUGGAAAAUUUGGCACUGAAGGUAAAGGUGGUAAUUGCUGAAGAUGACGAGCAGCUAAGCCAACUUCCAUGCUUGAAAAUGACAAAGCGACGAACAAUGCAGCAAAGGUCAAGCACUUGAAGGAAGCCAUGGCGUUCGUAGAUCUUAAAAGUGAACAAAAGAUAUUGUUGUUAUGUUUGGAAUGAGGGAAGGCAAGGUCAGGUUUGGGGAUUAUAUGGGAACCGAGCUAGGCUUUGGUAGGUGAUGUAGUUGGGGAAACUGUGAAAACCUAUCAAGCUCGUCUUGCUGGUUAGCUUAAUUUCCAGUUAAAAGUUGGUAAGUGUAGUUGAAGUAGUUGGCUAAAUCAGAAUAUUCUCAAUUGCAAGAAGGUCAAAAUAUGCAGAUUAGCAGAUAGAGAAAUGGAACAGACAAUGCCACCAAAAUAUAAAUUAAAAUCAUCAAAAUAAUUUCUUUAUGGGUUAUGAAGGAGUUUUUUCUGGAUUUUGGUUUUGUACCUCAGCCAGUCUUUUCAUCUAUUGGUACCCAACUCCUCUUUUGCUUGGCAAGUCCUUUCGGUGACAGUCCCUAUAUUGACUCUCCUAAUAAGCUUCUGUUCUUUGUUUUUUGGGCCUCAAGUCUUCUUUGUUGAGCUUGCAUUAGGUUUUCAGAAUUAUGUUUUAAGAUUCUAUUGUGCUGGGCCAAGAGCUUUUUUUAUAAAAUGAAUUGCAAUCUUCAAUAAAAAAAAAUUAUAAGAAUCUUCCCUUUUAUUAUUAUUCCUCCUAAAUAAUAUUUUCACUAAAACAUCCUAAUUAAUUUUAACUUUUAAUUCCUAAUAUUAAUACCACUAAUUAAGAAGUGGUGGAUUUAGCUUAGUGUAGUAUACUGGCAUAUUAUUAAACUUGAAAGGAUGAAAUUCAAUAAUUUCAUCAAUGUAAUACAGAAAACACAAGAAAACACACCGAUAACUGUCAGACUUUUUGCAUCCGAAGUGAGAUUGACUCUUGAAAGAAAAUAUAGAUUCAAAACUCAUUAGGCCCAUUAAAACAGAAAAUAUUGUAUACUCCAACUCGUAACUAAAGCAGGCUGGACUGACUCCAUGCUUAGAUCCAUAAAAAAAUAGUCUAAUUCAGUUAUAUAAUGGGAGGUAGGAGAGCAGAUCCAGCUAUUUCGCAGUCCUAUCAAUAUGCGCAUCGGGAGGGAAUUAAAUGGCCGAUUGACAGAGAGGAGUACGCUGAUACGUCCAUAUAUACGGGUCUGAGUGAUAGGGACAGGUGGCACUGUAACAAGAAAACACACCGAUAACUGUCAGACUUUUUGCAUCCGAAGUGAGAUCGACUCUUGGAAGAAAAUAUAGAUUCAAAACUCAUUAGACCCAUUAAAGCAGACAAUAUUGCAUACUCCAACUCGUAACAAAGCAGGCUGGACUGACCCAUGCUCAGGUCCAUAAAAAAAUAGUCUAAUUCAGUGAUAUAAUGGGAGGUAGGGGAGCAGACCCAACUAUUUCGCAGCCCUAUCAAUAAGCGCAUCGGGAGGGAAUUAAAUGAUCGACUGACAGGCUGAUACGUCCAUAUGUACAAGUCUGAGUGAUAGGGACAGGUGGCACUGUAACUUUAUGCGUCACUAAAAAAUAAAAAAAAAAAGAAUAAAGUGGGAGAGACGUGAUCUUACCAUACUAAACUUUAUGGAUACCUUUAUUUACAUAAAUUUAAAUUUCCUUUGAAUUAUAAAGGAUGAGAUUUACUUCUUAUAAGCGAGAACCCUAACCCUAUUAUUAUUGACUUUAAAGUGAAUGCUUUUGAUAUGGUGAACUGACUAGUAUUGAAUCAUCAUAAAAUGUAUAAUAUUAUAAAAAACAUGAAUUGAUUAAAGUUUAUUUAUAACAUCAAAAUUAUCUAUUAAAAAAAAUCAAAAUUAGAUAAUAAUUUUCUCAAAUAAUAAUCAUCAAAACACAAUAAAAUUACAAGUAAUAAUCAUUAGGACAUCAAAUAAUUACGUAUAAUCAUAGAAUCAAAUCAAACCCAUAAUGAAAUAAAUGACAAACAACUAUCAAAAUCACAAAUAACUCCAAAGGGAUGUAGCAGCAUUCUUCUAAUACAGAGUCCGAGAUUCCAAUCUUCUUCCACAAUUUAAUCCAACAUACUUAGUUGCCAGGUGGUGGAGAAAGGAAUGGGAUCGAGGGAAUUGUACUUGGAAUAGUGGGGAUUGAUGGGAUACUUGGCAAUGGAGGCAAAGCAACCUUAGGGACGCUAGGGAAGCUGGGAAGUGGAGGUAGUGUAGGCUUAGGUAAAGAUGGGUUUGUGGGUAAUGUGGGCUGUGGCAGAGUUGGGACACUAGGCAAUGGUGGUAAUGAAGGCUUUGGCAAAUUUGGCACUGAAGGCAAAGGUGGUAAUUGCUGAAGAUGACGAGCAGCUGAGCCAACAUCCAUGCUUGAAAAUGACAAAGAGACGAAAAAUGCAGCAAAGAUGAAGCACUUGAAAGAAGC
rnacentral:lncRNA from 1 species